rnacentral:lncRNA from 10 species
GUGCUAUGUGACAGCAGCCUGGCAAAGCAGUCCCUUUGCUAAGGCAGGGAGGUUUUAUGACUGGUUUUAUUUAUCAGGCUGCCUGCCUGUCCUGUGGGGACACUCAGCAAGGGAACAUUGUGGACUGGGAAACUGUUGGUUUGGGAAAUGUUCCCAAUUUCAGCAUAAGUGAUAGGGAAGGCUGGACUGAAAGGGCAAAAAGUCGGAAUAACAGCGUGUCUGGGAAGGAUCUGGGCUGUGUCUGAAGCGGGUCAGUGCUGUUGUAGACUGAAGACUUGGCAGGGCAAGGCCAGUAGCAAUGCCCUUCUAGAGGAGGGACAGGGAGAUUGAAAAGCCCCAACUCAUGAGGCCAUCUCCUUCUGGAGAAGAUCUUAAUCAGAUCCCCACGGGAGGAUGAUGGAAGUUUCUUGUUGAGAUGGGUCAUCCCCUAACCACGGAACUCCAGUUCAGUCCCUGGGACCUAACAGACAAGCUCACCUUCCAUUGGGGGUGAAGCGAUGCUUGUCACCUCAACUUCUCUGAAGCUUUUUUCCUGUUUAAAAACUUGCUUCUUUCAUUCAUUCACCCUAACCUACAGCAGUCCCUUGAGACAGGAAAAUUAACCUAGUUAAUGCACUCACCUGGAUGAAAGAAGAAUAUCAGCUCAUCAAUUUGCUGUAAGUUAAUGAACGCCUCUCAAAGAUCCAAAAAGGCUUUUGCAGAUUAAGCUGGAUGUUUCUGUUUCACUCUUUGCACUGGUCUGUGAUGACUAUGCACCAGCAGCCUCUUUUUUCACAGACUGCAGGGUCUUUUCUGCAGCCAAAUAUUCCUUGUAAUCAUUUGGGCUUUUAUGGUGGCAGGUGUCAGAAAUGUAACUCAAACUAGGGUAAGCAAAAGUGGGAGAAGAUGUAUGGAUUUAUGGAACAGGAAGGGAUGGGGUAGAUCUAGUAUUGGGCACAUAUGGAGCCUUCCACAGCUGCUGUCCAUAUGCUCCCUCAAACUGGGUUGUCCUCCUUCCCUCCUCCUGCAAAUGGGUUCCCAGUGUGGACUGGAAGAUGGCGGCCAACAAGCCCAAAUCCUGUUCUUCCAGCAUAGUGGCUACAACAGGCAAGAGGAUCUUCCCCGUGAUUGAGCCAUCUGGGUCACGUGCUCAUCCCAGGGCAAGGGAGCUCUCUGAUCAGCUGGCCUGGGUCCUGUGCCCACCUCCUACAGACGGGAGGGCGGGGUGCUGUGAAUGGCAGGCUUCACCAGAAUUCAUUAUUAGAGAAGAUCAGCUCAAAGAAAUGGGGUGCUUCCAGAAAACAGCAGCUCAUUUCUACUUCAGUCCAACAUUGCACAGAGGUGGAUGAAGGUUUCUCUGUGCAUGUUUGCAAAACCAAGUCCCCAGCAGUUGUAGAAGGAUUUCCCAAUGCAGAGCCACUCCUGAAUCUGGUGUGGGAAUCCUUCCCAUCCUUCUUGCCCAUCCUGUCUUCUGUCUUCCUGGCCCUCUCCCCUCACUUUCCUAUCUGCUUUUCUUUUUUCCUUUCUUUUUUCUUUUCUUUUCCUUUCCUUUUCUUUUCAUCUUUCUUUCCUUCCUUCCUUUUGUCAUUCUUUCUUCCUUUUCUUCCUUCCUUCUUUCCUUUCUCCUUCCUUCCUUCCUUCUCUGUUUCUCUUUCUUUCCUUUCUUUCUUCGUUCUCUCUUUCUUCUUUCUUCCUUUUUUUUUUGUUUUGAGUCAGGAUCUUGCUUUGUCACCCAGGCUGGAGCGCAGUGACACAAUCAUAGCUAGCUGCAGCCUCAACCUCCUGGGCUCAAGCAAUUCUCCCUCCUCACCCUCCUGAGUGGCUGGGACCAUAGGCACACAUCACCCAGCUAAUUCCUAUUGGCUUUUCUGGGGAUGAGGAUCUUAACCGCUAGCUAAUAAAGUUCCUGGGACAGACCCUGCUAUUCUCCCUCCAGAACAUACCCAGGGAUGAGCUUUCUCUGUCGCAGGAGUUGCCUCUCUGGUCCUUGCCUCAGCCCUCUGACAGCUCCCCUCGCUGCACUCUGAAGACAGAAGAGCUGCUAGUAAGCUGGGCUGCCAAUUCCAGACAACAUUUGACCUUUCAACCUGAGCAGGCUGAGUGGCGGCUGAGUGCAGAGCCACAGCUGGAUGUUGACAGUUCUUGGCCACCAAGAGGGAAAGACAGAGAAACGCAGACCCAUCUUCUGCGGGCGGAAGGGGCUGUCGGAUCUGGUCAGUUUGAUACCUCCCAGUGCAGGCUGGGGAGACACUGGAUGGCAACCUCAGCGUGGCCAGGAGUCUGGGACAGGAAAAUGUGCUGGGGUUACCUGAUGACCAUCCAGAGGCCUCCAGGCAUGGCUCCACCAUGACGGUAGGAAGUUGAUCAAUAUCUUCAUCAAUAUCUGUGGCUGGGUAUUCCUGCUCUCUCCCUGCUGUGGAGGCCAGGGUGCUGCUCCUAAGACAGUAGAAGUUUGUGCCUUAGAAGAGGGGUGCCCAAGUCCAGGGCUGUGGACCAGUAAGCAUUCCAUGGCCUGUUGGGAACCGGCCCCACAGCAGGAGGUGAGCGGCAGGUGAGUGAGCAUUACUACCUGAGCCCCGCCUCCUGUCAGAUCAGUGUGGCAUUACAUUCCCAUAGGAGCACAAACCCUAUUGUGGACUGCAGGUGCGACGGAUGUAGGUUGGGCACCUCUUAUGAGAAUCUAACACCUGAUGAUCUGAGGUGGAAC